rnacentral:rRNA from 1 species
UACGUAGGGUGCGAGCGUUAAUCGGAAUUACUGGGCGUAAAGCGUGCGCAGGCGGUCUUGUAAGUCAGAUGUGAAAUCCCCGGGCGUAACCUGGGAACUGCGUUUGAAACUACAAGGCUAGAGUGUGGCAGAGGGGGGUGGAAUUCCACGUGUAGCAGUGAAAUGCGUAGAGAUGUGGAGGAACACCGAUGGCGAAGGCAGCCCCCUGGGUUAACACUGACGCUCAGGCACGAAAGCGUGGGGAGCAAACAGG